GACGAACGCUGGCGGCGUGCUUAACACAUGCAAGUCGAACGGAAAGGCCCUGCUUUUGUGGGGUGCUCGAGUGGCGAACGGGUGAGUAACACGUGAGUAACCUGCCCUUGACUUUGGGAUAACUUCAGGAAACUGGGGCUAAUACCGGAUAGGAGCUCCUGCUGCAUGGUGGGGGUUGGAAAGUUUCGGCGGUUGGGGAUGGACUCGCGGCUUAUCAGCUUGUUGGUGGGGUAGUGGCUUACCAAGGCUUUGACGGGUAGCCGGCCUGAGAGGGUGACCGGCCACAUUUGGACUGAGAUACCGCCCAGAAUCCUAAGGGAGGCAGGAGUGGGGAAUAAUGCAACAUGGGCGGAAGCCUGAUGCAGCAACGCCGCGGGCGGGAUGACGGCCUUCGGGUUGUAAACCGGUUUCGGCUGUGACGAAGCGUGAGGGACGGGAAUGGGUAAAGAAGCACCGGCUAACUAAGUG
rnacentral:rRNA from 1 species